AAAUAAAUAAAUGUCUUGGUGUACAUGUGCAAUGAUAAAAAAAAAUAUAUUCACAUAUGUCUUCCAUGUCGCGCUUGAACAGCAGUUACUAGACGAUGCUCACUCUGGAUGCCAUGUUAUUAAACUUAUCUGCUAUUACGUUAUUUGUUAGUUACAAAAGAAAAACUCUUUUUUGGUUUAUCUUCAAGUAAAACAGAAAAUCUUUUUUCCUUUGGCAUAUUUAAAAAGUGAAAUCGUCCCCUCCCCCCUUUAUUUCACCUCAAAAAUGUAACAUAUUAUUUUUAAUGAAUAGGUUGAUUUUUUUUUUAAUCUGACGGUGAAACCACAAGCGAAACAUUAAUUAAUUAGUAAACAUAAAUACUAUCUCACUAUCUCUCUUACUGAUGUCCAAGUAAUUUUGGGUUUUUGUUUUCUUGGUUCUUCUGGUGGCGGUUUUACUUCUUUGGAGUCAAGCUUUGCACUCAUACUCAAGUCUGUGUGUAGACUAAAUCGCUUCCUGCCCUUGAUAACUUGAUUUAAUUUGUCACGUCUGCCGCUCAUGCGUUUUGCAUUGCGUUAUCUAUGCCGACCAUUAAAAAGCUUCUGGACCACGAUCGCGCGGCCAUUAGACUUCUCUCCACCUCACUGUUGAGACCGGUGAGCUACUAAUAACUAGUAUUUAAAGACUGGAACCCAGAUCUUCAACAAUCGCGAAUGGUCAUCAUUGCCGACCACUUUGGGAGAUCCUCAAUAAAACAUGGCAAAUAUGGACGUACAAAAGAUUUAGUCACAAAUUCUUCCAUCUCUUCCAAUUCCUCCAUAUGGAUUGAAGUUUAAAACCAGGAUCCUUGAUUCUCGACAUAUAAAAUUAUCUUUUCCUUACUGGCUGCACCUUUCUUUAUCUAAGUCCGCCAUCUUCUCUUAUCCUAUCUCAGGAAGCUGUUUUUUUUUUCCCUAAUCGGCACUGCUGCACCGAUUGAUAAGAACCAAGGGGAGUAAUAAACCGGUGCCAGUUGUUCUUGCAGAGUAGCUUGCCCUCCUCAUCCCCUCCCUCCAAUUUUUUCCCCCCUCUUAUACUUCGUGUUUCUAGCUUCUCACUUUUGAAAUAAUCGCGACUGUGUUUUUAUGAUAGGAAACAUAGCUCGCCAUUCAGUAAGUGUCAGUUGAAAUGGUUUUCAGAGGCUCCUGAUGCUGAACUUAAUUCAUAUUGAUAACGCGAGGCUAGGAGAAAAUCUGAAAUAUUUCUAUCUACAAAGACCGAGAGACAGAAAGAGAGCAAAAAAAAACAAAAAAACAACAACACUAAAACAAUAUGGCGCCUUAUCAUUGAUAGUAGAGAAUGUUUUCUUUAAAGGCCAAUGAGAUUUUUGUAUAUGUUCGGCGUUUGUACUUGUAAAUUGAAUUAAAUAAUUACAUUUAGGGUU